rnacentral:rRNA from 1 species
CUACCAUGCAAGUCGAACGAUGAUCCCAGCUUGCUGGGGGAUUAGUGGCGAACGGGUGAGUAACACGUGAGUAACCUGCCCUUGACUCUGGGAUAAGCCUGGGAAACUGGGUCUAAUACCGGAUACGACCAUUCCACGCAUGUGGUGGUGGUGGAAAGCUUUUGUGGUUUUGGAUGGACUCGCGGCCUAUCAGCUUGUUGGUGGGGUAAUGGCCUACCAAGGCGACGACGGGUAGCCGGCCUGAGAGGGUGACCGGCCACACUGGGACUGAGACACGGCCCAGACUCCUACGGGAGGCAGCAGUGGGGAAUAUUGCACAAUGGGCGCAAGCCUGAUGCAGCGACGCCGCGUGAGGGAUGACGGCCUUCGGGUUGUAAACCUCUUUCAGUAGGGAAGAAGCGAAAGUGACGGUACCUGCAGAAGAAGCGCCGGCUAACUACGUGCCAGCAGCCGCGGUAAUACGUAGGGCGCAAGCGUUAUCCGGAAUUAUUGGGCGUAAAGAGCUCGUAGGCGGUUUGUCGCGUCUGCUGUGAAAGACCGGGGCUCAACUCCGGUUCUGCAGUGGGUACGGGCAGACUAGAGUGCAGUAGGGGAGACUGGAAUUCCUGGUGUAGCGGUGAAAUGCGCAGAUAUCAGGAGGAACACCGAUGGCGAAGGCAGGUCUCUGGGCUGUAACUGACGCUGAGGAGCGAAAGCAUGGGGAGCGAACAGGAUUAGAUACCCUGGUAGUCCAUGCCGUAAACGUUGGGCACUAGGUGUGGGGGACAUUCCACGUUUUCCGCGCCGUAGCUAACGCAUUAAGUGCCCCGCCUGGGGAGUACGGCCGCAAGGCUAAAACUCAAA